AUUGAACGCUGGCGGCAGGCCUAACACAUGCAAGUCGAACGAGUGGCGGACGGGUGAGUAAUGUCUGGGCAACUGCCCGAUGGAGGGGGAUAACUACUGGAAACGGUAUGUAAUAACGCAUUCUAUCGGAUUAGGCCAGAUGGGAUUGGCUAGUAGGCGGGGUAACGGCUCACCUAGGCGACGAUCCCUAGCUGGUCUGAGAGGAUGACCAGCCACACUGGAACUGAGACACGGUCCAGACUCCUACGGGAGGCAGCAGUGGGGAAUAUUGCACAAUGGGCGCAAGCCUGAUGCAGCCAUGCCGCGUGUAUGAAGAAGGCCUUCGGGUUGUAAAGUACUUUCAGCGAGGAGGCGUUACUCGCAGAAGAAGCACCGGCUAACUCCGUGCCAGCAGCCGCGGUAAUAC
rnacentral:rRNA from 1 species